GAUCAUUAUGGAGGAGGAGCCUUGAGGAGUAUGAAGCAGAGGCUCCUGGGGAGAGAGAAUGACUGCUGUAAGGAAUAGCUAUUUUUGGAAAUGAGACAGAGAAGAUGUAUUGUAAUUUCUGGUGUCUUCAUUUGAAUGGAUGCAGCUGUGUGAUGUCUUUGUCUGUACAGUGGAAAAGAGAAAAUCUUGUCUGCAUUAUAUGGCCAGUUCUUCUCUUGUGUAGCAGCCUGGCCUUACAUCUGGAAAGCAGCAUGUCUCUGUUGUUCAGGGACAAUCCCAGAGGUGUGGGUGUAGAUGCUGCUUUAUAUGUGAAGAGUCACUUCUGGAUAAGAAGAGUUCAUCAUCGUUGUGCUGGAGUUACUGAAUGGUGAAUCCUUAAUUUAAAAGCACAAGCAGUAUCAGAAAUGCUUGACAAGUGAGUCGCAGUGAAUCAAGUGACACCUCAGCUCACAAUACGUGUGUUUUUGAUUAUCAAUUAUUUAGAAAGGAGACUGCUCAUGCUGAUCAGCGUUCAGCACCAUGAGACCCAGUUUGACCUGUAAAUUCUGCGGGUGUCUAGACACACACAUGACCUUGAAGCCAGAUGGGAGAAGGACAUUAUUAAUUCAGCCAGGGGAUCUCAGAAAAGGCUUAACUCCUGUCAGAGGCUCAGAAUCCCCAAAGAAUCUGCAAGAUUUUUCAAGUGCAAGGUCAGUAUAUGGAAACAAUUCCUCACAGAAGUACUUUGCAGUCAUAUCAAACUCCUUUUUGAUAAGUGAAUCCAGCAGACUCCUAACCUAGAGAAGCAUUUGCCCUGUGGGUCUCGAGGACUCUGUUACAUCAUGGAGAACUUUCCAAAGCUGUCUUUUCGCAGAAAGUGGUGAUGUCACAGCCACAGUAAAGAAAGCAGAGGCCAGGAAGAUCCAUUGUGUGAUCUGCUCAUCUCAGUGGAUUGUAACCCGGUCAAUUUCCACCAUUAAAAAUGAAGGAAAGGGAAAAAUUACUUUAUUGCACAGACACCUUUUUGAUGGUAUGGAUGUGGGUUGCAGCAUGCACUUGCUGAAGAAGAAAGGCAAAAACAAGUGUCUCCUCAUGGGCUACCAAUUUCUUACCAGAAUUCACGUGCACCGCUGCUGUGCUUUGCUGGUUGGUAAUUAUCAGACUAAAUACUAAUUUUUUUAGGUGGAGAGCACAAACACAAACUAUCAAAAAUCAAAGAUUUCCAAGAAAAGAUACUUUGAUGCAUGUCUCAGUCCCUCUGCAGCUGAAAGAGGCCUUGCAGUUUUUAAAGUUUUUUGGGUUUUUGUUCCCAUUCAAUCAGACUGGACAUUUAGAAAGCAGAGUGAUUUUCUAUCAAGGAAAAAAAAAAAAAAAAAAAAAAUCUUAUUUUCUUUGUGUUUUAAAAGGUCAAAAGCAAGCCCAAAUCUUCCA